rnacentral:rRNA from 1 species
UACGAAGGGGGCAAGCGUUGUUCGGAAUUAUUGGGCGUAAAGAGCUCGUAGGCGGCCUGUCGCGUCCGCUGUGAAAUCCCGGGGCUUAACCCCGGGCGUGCAGUGGAUACGGGCUGGCUAGAGGCAGGCAGGGGAGAACGGAAUUCCCGGUGUAGCGGUGAAAUGCGCAGAUAUCGGAGGAACGACCGGUGGCGAAGGCGGUUCUCUGGCCUGUUCUGACGCUGAGGAGCGAAGCG